AAAAAGAAAAAUGAAAAAAAUGAAGCAGUGCGUUAUUCCCAAUUUUUCAACGCAAUUUUAACUGAUUUAAAGUUCUGUUGGAUUAGAUAUCAGAAGAAGUUUUCUACCUCUCUUCAGCGCUGAAUCCGCCCACGUGUACUGCUGCCAGCGUUUUCAUUGCUUCAGGUGGAGUGUAAAUGUAUGCAAACCUUUUGGAGAAAUGUUACUACCCAUUCGUUUCCGAGCUCGUUCCAACAAGGAGAUAUUCAUCCAGGAGUUCCGCGAAUUAUGCCACGGAGAAAUUCGGCAUACAACACAACCACACCACCCGCCCCCUCUGGGCAUCGGAGAGGUAUCGGAACCAGUAAAAUACCUUCUGCUGGCAAAGCGGAGAUCAUUCAAGAAAUUGUCGCGAAAUUUGAGUUUAGUUGCUGAGGAGGCAGUUACAAGUUCGCCGAAUCACCAUUAAUUCUACCGGCAAUGUGCCUUCCAUGGUACGGAGACCAACAACAGCGUAGUCUCGGACCGGAGAGAAGAGAGUCAUAGAGGUUACUUCUGGAGAAGAAUGCUCAAACAAUACUGGCCAAGGAUGUAGCUGCGGGACGCCCAGCAAGGGCAGGAGGAGAUGGCGAAAUUUGUAAAACUUCAUCGGAAAUCUGUAGGAUAAGCAUACGGAGCGAAGAA